AUUAUCUUAGUUUAUCUUAGUUCGUGGAUAAUAUAGAUAAUUCCAUUUUCUAUGAAAAAUUCCCGCUAUAUUUUUAAAUCCUUAUAAUCGUGGUAGUGAAAAUAUGUACAUAAUAAUAAUAUACUACUACAAUUCGAAGGUUUGCAGUGAUUAGUCGAUUUACGUAAUUUGUUAAUUUAAAGAUCAUUGCCAAUUUUUAAAACUUAACAAAUUUGUUUUUGUUAUAAGUAUAACAUUGUCAUGAAAAAUAUUAAUAUGUCAUUAAUUAAUGUCGAUAAUGACAACAUUUGUAACCAAAAUAACAUGGUCAUGACACAAUUUAUAUUAUUUUUAGUUUUUAAUGCAAUAAUGAUGUAAAUAAUACUGAAUUAUAUUUACUAUUCAAACAUUUAAAAGGUGAUUGUUUCUACCAAGAAUUCACAGGUAAAAUUACUUAGUUCAUGCCCAUUUUAUUGAUGUUUUUUUUUUUUUUAUAUUAUAUGCUUUUAAGUAUUUAUCUUAAUUUGUAAAACAAAAUCACAACUGAAAGUUUACAAUUUAUGAAAAUAUAUCAUUUGGUUAAAUUGUGUCCCAAAACUAUGAUUGGUCAAAGAAUCAUUUUUGAACAUAAAUUAACCAAUUGGCAAACAAAUAAGUGUAGUGUAACUGUAAGUAGGUACUUAAUAGCAUCAUAACCAGACAUACCUCAUUCAAUGCUCGGCCUUUGAUAUAAAUCCUAUAUAAAUAGGAACUUUAUUAAUUAUAUAGAUGCAUACAAUGUAAUAUUUAGAAAUAGUUUUAUAACUGAUAAGCAUUA